AGAGACCUGAAGAUGUAGCAGUAGCAGAACAAAGUUACAGAUCCAAAACCACCUUCCCCAAUUUUAUUUACAGAAUCAAAGUUAUUAGUGGCAGCUUUUAUUUGCUUGAAGGUGAAAAAGCCAGUUUGCAGAUCCAGUCCUCUCAGAGCUGUCCAUCGAACAAGAUUUCUUGACUAACAAAUCAUUCAGAAGAUGGCUGGUCAAUUGCAAUACAGUUCUUACUAAAAUGGUGCUACAUUUCCUAUUAUGAUCAUUGCCAUGUGAAUUCAUGUGUGCAAUACGUUUUCCAAAAGACAAGUGAGGUAACAUUCCUGUGUGUCUACAUUACUAAGAAGUAGGACUAACUAUCUCUAAAGAUGUAGCAGUAGCAGAACAACCAAUCGAUGUUGCAUCUGAUCCACGCAAGAAGCUCUGAGUUCCACUCUCUUCUGCAGCAAACGUCUCAAACCGGUCCCUCGAGGCUGUCAACCUCGUCUCAUCACCAUAGAUACUUGGAUCCAUAGUCAAUUCAUGAACGACGCUCCGCCCUUCAAGCAUACUCACUACUGCAGACAUCGUUGGCCUAAGUGCUGGUGCCGGAUUGGUGCACAGUAGAGCUACUUCGACCAUUCUAAUUGCCUCUUCCUUGCUGAAAUCGGACCCCAGCCUUGGAUCCACCAGCUCCAUUAGAUUCCCUUUUUGUUGUAAAACAAGGGCCUGAAAACGAGCGAAGACAAAAGAUUGAACAUGGAAAGCAAACCAAGUUUAGCAGAGACGUCCAUGAAGUAGUAAUGGCCACAAAACUGUGCUUCUAGUUGCAUGUACCGGAAGGUAUUUGAAAGAGUCCAGAUCUAUCUUACCCAAUCCACAAGGCCUACAAAGUUCUCAUUUGCCCGAAAUUUCUCAUCUGCUCGAAGUUUCGUGUUAUUCUUUCCAGCAACAAUUUCCAAUGUGACAACACCAAAACUGUAUACAUCUGCUUUGUACGUUAAAUAACCCCAUAGUGCAUAUUCAGGUGCCAUGUAUCCUCUGCACAAGAAAGGUUGUUACAUCUUACUGAAUAUUCACUCUAGCAUGAGGCAUUUCAUCUCAAACUAUAGCCAACGCCAACAGAACAUUUACACAAGAUUACGUGUUCAAAUAUUUUGCUGGAUUUCAGUAUGCUAUUAAGCGGUCCAUGAAGUUACUCCAUAGACUACAUCAUUGCAAUUUAGAGAGACAUAUAUAUUAGUUUGUUCAUGAUUAUGUCAGAUUUAAGAUUUUGUUUACAGAAGUUGGGUGCAAAUCAAAAUUACUCUGAAAUGUGGCGUUUAGAGAAUAUAUGUAUACGGCGCGGGUAGCCAUAUGUAAGAGCAACUUACAUAGUUCCAGCAACUCUGGUGCUAAUGUGGGUAUUCUCUUCUUCGUCAAGCUUGGCCAGACCAAAGUCCGAGAUCUUAGCGUUAAGGUCUUGGUCCAGCAGUACAUUCGUAGAUUUAAUAUCUCUGUGCACAACCUUCAGUGGUGAUUCCUCAUGCAAAAAUGCCAGACCUUUUGCUAUGCCUAUGCAUAUUUUCUGCCUCGCAGGCCAGUCCAAUCUGAGUGGACCUCCCUCUGAACC